GGGUUGUGAGGUUAAGCGACUAAGCGUACACGGUGGAUGCCCUGGCAGUCAGAGGCGAUGAAGGACGUGCUAAUCUGCGAUAAGCGUCGGUAAGGUGAUAUGAACCGUUAUAACCGGCGAUUUCCGAAUGGGGAAACCCAGUGUGAUUCGUCACACUAUCAUUAACUGAAUCCAUAGGUUAAUGAGGCGAACCGGGGGAACUGAAACAUCUAAGUACCCCGAGGAAAAGAAAUCAACCGAGAUUCCCCAGUAGCGGCGAGCGAACGGGGAGCAGCCCAGAGCCUGAAUCAGUGUGUGUGUUAGUGGAAGCGUCUGGAAAGGCGCGCGAUACAGGGUGACAGCCCCGUACACAAAAAUGCACAUGCUGUGAGCUCGAUGAGUAGGGCGGGACACGUGGUAUCCUGUCUGAAUAUGGGGGACCAUCCUCCAAGGCUAAAUACUCCUGACUGACCGAUAGUGAACCAGUACCGUGAGGGAAAGGCGAAAAGAACCCCGGCGAGGGGAGUGAAAAAGAACCUGAAACCGUGUACGUACAAGCAGUGGGAGCACGCUUAGGCGUGUGACUGCGUACCUUUUGUAUAAUGGGUCAGCGACUUAUAUUCUGUAGCAAGGUUAACCGAAUAGGGGAGCCGAAGGGAAACCGAGUCUUAACUGGGCGUUAAGUUGCAGGGUAUAGACCCGAAACCCGGUGAUCUAGCCAUGGGCAGGUUGAAGGUUGGGUAACACUAACUGGAGGACCGAACCGACUAAUGUUGAAAAAUUAGCGGAUGACUUGUGGCUGGGGUGAAAGGCCAAUCAAACCGGGAGAUAGCUGGUUCUCCCCGAAAGCUAUUUAGGUAGCGCCUCGUGAAUUCAUCUCCGGGGUAGAGCACUGUUUCGGCAAGGGGGUCAUCCCGACUUACCAACCCGAUGCAAACUGCGAAUACCGGAGAAUGUUAUCACGGGAGACACACGGCGGGUGCUAACGUCCGUCGUGAAGAGGGAAACAACCCAGACCGCCAGCUAAGGUCCCAAAGUCAUGGUUAAGUGGGAAACGAUGUGGGAAGGCCCAGACAGCCAGGAUGUUGGCUUAGAAGCAGCCAUCAUUUAAAGAAAGCGUAAUAGCUCACUGGUCGAGUCGGCCUGCGCGGAAGAUGUAACGGGGCUAAACCAUGCACCGAAGCUGCGGCAGCGACGCUUAUGCGUUGUUGGGUAGGGGAGCGUUCUGUAAGCCUGUGAAGGUGUGCUGUGAGGCAUGCUGGAGGUAUCAGAAGUGCGAAUGCUGACAUAAGUAACGAUAAAGCGGGUGAAAAGCCCGCUCGCCGGAAGACCAAGGGUUCCUGUCCAACGUUAAUCGGGGCAGGGUGAGUCGACCCCUAAGGCGAGGCCGAAAGGCGUAGUCGAUGGGAAACAGGUUAAUAUUCCUGUACUUGGUGUUACUGCGAAGGGGGACGGAGAAGGCUAUGUUGGCCGGGCGACGGUUGUCCCGGUUUAAGCGUGUAGGCUGGUUUUCCAGGCAAAUCCGGAAAAUCAAGGCUGAGGCGUGAUGACGAGGCACUACGGUGCUGAAGCAACAAAUGCCCUGCUUCCAGGAAAAGCCUCUAAGCAUCAGGUAACAUCAAAUCGUACCCCAAACCGACACAGGUGGUCAGGUAGAGAAUACCAAGGCGCUUGAGAGAACUCGGGUGAAGGAACUAGGCAAAAUGGUGCCGUAACUUCGGGAGAAGGCACGCUGAUAUGUAGGUGAAGUCCCUCGCGGAUGGAGCUGAAAUCAGUCGAAGAUACCAGCUGGCUGCAACUGUUUAUUAAAAACACAGCACUGUGCAAACACGAAAGUGGACGUAUACGGUGUGACGCCUGCCCGGUGCCGGAAGGUUAAUUGAUGGGGUCAGCGCAAGCGAAGCUCUUGAUCGAAGCCCCGGUAAACGGCGGCCGUAACUAUAACGGUCCUAAGGUAGCGAAAUUCCUUGUCGGGUAAGUUCCGACCUGCACGAAUGGCGUAAUGAUGGCCAGGCUGUCUCCACCCGAGACUCAGUGAAAUUGAACUCGCUGUGAAGAUGCAGUGUACCCGCGGCAAGACGGAAAGACCCCGUGAACCUUUACUAUAGCUUGACACUGAACAUUGAGCCUUGAUGUGUAGGAUAGGUGGGAGGCUUAGAAGUGUGGACGCCAGUCUGCAUGGAGCCGACCUUGAAAUACCACCCUUUAAUGUUUGAUGUUCUAACGUUGACCCGUAAUCCGGGUUGCGGACAGUGUCUGGUGGGUAGUUUGACUGGGGCGGUCUCCUCCUAAAGAGUAACGGAGGAGCACGAAGGUUGGCUAAUCCUGGUCGGACAUCAGGAGGUUAGUGCAAUGGCAUAAGCCAGCUUGACUGCGAGCGUGACGGCGCGAGCAGGUGCGAAAGCAGGUCAUAGUGAUCCGGUGGUUCUGAAUGGAAGGGCCAUCGCUCAACGGAUAAAAGGUACUCCGGGGAUAACAGGCUGAUACCGCCCAAGAGUUCAUAUCGACGGCGGUGUUUGGCACCUCGAUGUCGGCUCAUCACAUCCUGGGGCUGAAGUAGGUCCCAAGGGUAUGGCUGUUCGCCAUUUAAAGUGGUACGCGAGCUGGGUUUAGAACGUCGUGAGACAGUUCGGUCCCUAUCUGCCGUGGGCGCUGGAGAACUGAGGGGGGCUGCUCCUAGUACGAGAGGACCGGAGUGGACGCAUCACUGGUGUUCGGGUUGUCAUGCCAAUGGCACUGCCCGGUAGCUAAAUGCGGAAGAGAUAAGUGCUGAAAGCAUCUAAGCACGAAACUUGCCCCGAGAUGAGUUCUCCCUGACUCCUUGAGAGUCCUGAAGGAACGUUGAAGACGACGACGUUGAUAGGCCGGGUGUGUAAGCGCAGCGAUGCGUUGAGCUAACCGGUACUAAUGAACCGUGAGGCUUAACCUUACAACGCCGAAGCUGUU
rnacentral:rRNA from 1 species